rnacentral:tRNA from 1 species
AUUAAAUUGGCAGAUUAGUGCUUUGAUUUUAGAAAUCAAUUAUGUGUAUUUAUACAUAUUUAAUA